GGAUCCGUAGCUCAAUGGGCAGAGCGUCCGCCUUUGAAGCGGAAGCGUGGAGGUUCGAGCCCUCCCGGAUCCUCUA
rnacentral:tRNA from 1 species